rnacentral:tRNA from 1 species
GCUCUCAUAGUUCAAUGGAUAGAACAGCCCCCUCCUAAGGGGCAGAUGUAGGUUCGAUUCCUACUGGGAGUA